AGACGCCUCCUCCUCCUGUCACUUCGGGACAAGUUAACAAUCUUCAGAUUCGUUGUUAAAGCAGCGUGUACCCUAUGUGAUCUAUCAGGUUCGGCUUUAGAGUGUGGUGAAGGGUACUUUUCAUGGUGCAUGGAAGGAAAGCCAAUGCGCAGGUGUACCAACAUUCGACCAGGAGAGACUGGAAUGGAUGUAACAAGCCGCUGCACCCUUGGAGACCCCAACAAACUGCCAGAAGGGGUUCCCCAACCUGCCCGCAUGCCCUAUAUCUCAGACAAGCACCCUCGACAAACCCUGGAAGUGAUUAACCUUCUGAGAAAGCACCGUGAGCUAUGUGAUGUGGUGCUAGUUGUGGGCGCCAAGAAGAUAUAUGCCCAUCGAGUCAUUUUGUCAGCCUGUAGUCCCUACUUCCGAGCUAUGUUUACAGGAGAAUUGGCAGAGAGCCGUCAGACAGAAGUAGUGAUCCGAGACAUCGACGAGAGGGCUAUGGAAUUACUGAUUGACUUUGCGUAUACCUCCCAGAUAACAGUAGAAGAGGGCAAUGUUCAGACUCUUCUGCCAGCUGCUUGCCUCCUCCAGCUGGCAGAAAUACAGGAAGCCUGCUGUGAAUUCUUAAAGAGACAAUUAGAUCCUUCUAACUGCCUGGGCAUUCGGGCUUUUGCUGACACACAUUCAUGUCGUGAGUUGCUAAGGAUAGCAGACAAGUUCACCCAACAUAACUUUCAAGAGGUGAGUUGCACUUGGUGUUCCAAUGCACCCAUUUGUUGGAGAGCAAUAUGGGUUCACAUUCUGCUAAAUAACACUUGCCUGGGUAUUUGCUGCUGAUUCUAACUCAUAAUAGCAAAUAAAUAAGUUAUUAUAAAUCCUAAACCUGGCUUUUAUUUUAGAGGCCAAUUUUGUGUUCUACCAGCAAGUUAAGAUUUAGGGAUUUAUUCUCCCUAACUGUAUUCAUAAAA
rnacentral:sRNA from 1 species